rnacentral:rRNA from 1 species
CUGCAGCCCGAGUGGUGAUCGAUUUUAUUGAGCCUAAAGCGUCCGUAGCCGGACUAGUAAACCCUUGGGUAAAUUGGGCAGCUUAACUGUCCAAAUUCCGAGGGGACUGCUAGUCUUGGGACCGGGAGAGGUCAGAGGUACUCAAGGGGUAGGGGCUAAAUCCUGUAAUCCUUUGGGGACCACCAGUGGCGAAGGCGUCUGACUAGGACGGAUCCGACGGUAAGGGACGAAACCCUGGGGCGCGAACCGGAUUAGAGACCCGAGUAGUCC